rnacentral:lncRNA from 1 species
CAGAACUUCUUUCUAGGAUCUUUGAGUCCAAAUGUGUAUAGCUACAGGAUUUGGGGAAGCCCCCACAAUUGCUGGCUGGCAUGUUAAUUUUAUCUAAAGAACAGUAUUUGGCUGACCCAUUAAUUUGUCCUGUUCACUUUUCCAAUGUCAUAUCUACCAUCCAAAAAAAACUGAGGAUUUCCCGUUAUGGUUCAGCAUAACAAACUCAGCUAGUAUUCAUGAGAAUGUGGGUUGGAUACUGGCCCCACUCAAUGGGUUAAGGAUCCCGCACUGCUGUGAGCUGUGGUGUAGAUCACAGACGUGGCUCAAAUCUGGCAUUGCUGUGGCUGUGGCAUAGGCCAGCAGCUGUAGCUCUGUAGCCUGGGAACAUCCAUAUGCUGCAGGUGCAGCCCUAAAAAGCAAAAAAAUGAAAAAUCCCCACAAAAACAAAAACAAAAAAAAUUGAAAUUGCUUAGCUACCCAAAAGUUUCUCUUUUCUUCUUUGUUAUUUUAUAUAAAUAACCAUUACAUUGUAUUACUUAUCUAUUGAUGCAUAACACAUUACCACAAACUUAGCAUCUUAAAACAAUACACAUUAUCUCACAAUUUCUGUGAGUCAUGAAUCUGGGCACAGAUUAGUGGGUCCCCUCUGUCAGGGUCUCUCAUGAAUUUUCAGUCAAGGUGUCCUCCAGGGUUAGUUUCUCAUCUGAUAGCUUUACUGGUGAAAGGUCCGCUUCCAAGAUCAUGUGGAUUUUUGUUUGUUUGUUUGUUUGUUUUUUAAAGGCUGCAUCCACAGCAUAUGGAAUUUCCCAGGGCCAGAUAUUGAUUCUGAGUUGCAGCUGUGACCUACACCACAUCUGUGGCAAGGCUGGAUCCUUUAAUCCACUGCUUCAGGCUGGGGCUUGAACUGGCGCCUCUGCAGCUACUUGAGCCACUGCAGUCAGAUUCUUAACCCACAGAGCCACAGUAGGAACUCCAAGAUCAAGUGGAUUUUGACAGGACUUUACUCUGGUGGACAGAGUUGGGGUCUAAGGGAUCCAGGAGCUAGUGCCCACCCACCAGUGGGUGAAGGCAUUUCCUGACACAGCCCGUUGUGACUUGUGUUGUUUUGAUGGUGAAGUAGGUCCUGCCAUGGCAGGCUGUGGGGCUGAGGUUGUCCUGGGGCUGAGGUUGUCCUUGGGCUGUGUCCACCUGCUGGUGUGUGAGUCAGCUCCUGAAGCUAGAGCAGGCUCAGUGGUGGGCAGGGGAUUCCGGGGUUGGUGCCUGCCCACCGGUGGGUGGAACUGGGUUCCAGUGUCUGUGGCUACAGGGCCCUGGGGAACCCAGAUCUUAGUGCCUUAACAGUGGUAUGUGGGGGCCAUAUCCUGGGCCCUCUCUGGUGGGCAGAGUUGUGUCCAGGAGCAACUAUGAGCUCAGGGGGUCUUAAGACAGCCUAUCUGCUGGUGGCUGAGGGUGUGUCCCUGCCCAGUUAAUUGCUUGACCUGUGGCAUCACAGUUCUGGUACCUACCGGCUGAUGUGCCAGAGUAGGGCUGGGUCCAGAGGCUAAUAAGCUAGAAGGAAUAUUCCAAAAUGGCCCUGGCUAGAACCAGUGUCCACAUGGUAGAAUGAGCUCCCCUAAAUGGCUGAUAACAAUGUUUGUUUCCCCAGGGUGGGCUCCAAUUGCCUCCUGCCUCUCUGAGACACUCCUUUCAAAUUACUGCCCUGGGCCCUGGAGUAUGUGUGACUUUCUGUGUGCCCUUUAAGGCUGGAGUGUCUAUUUCCCAGUCCUCUGGGUCUCCAGAAAUAAACCCCACUGGCCUUCAAAGCCAAACAUUCUGGGGUCUUGUCUUCCCAGUGUGAAAUCCUCAGCUAGGGAACGUGAUGUGGGGCUCAGCUCCCUUGCUCUUUGGGCAGAACCCCUGCAAUUGUAAUUAUUCUCCUGUUUGUGGGUCCUCCACCUGGGGCUAUGGGUUUUGACUGUACUGUGACUACGCCGCUCUUACCCAACUCAUGGUUCCUUCUUCAUAUCUUUACUUGUAGAUCUUUUCUGGUAGGUUCCAGUCUUUUUCACUGAUAGUUAUUCUGUAAAUAGUUGUAAUUUUGAUGUGCCCAUAAGAGGAUGUGAGCUCAGGGUCUUUCUAUUCCACCAUCUUAAGCCUUAAACUAUAUACCAGAUAUUGGAGUAAGUAAUGGUAAGCGGAGUUUACUUUUCUCCUCUCCUAGCUUCACUACCCUAAAUAAUUAAAUUUAUGUAUUCUUUGCUCAUGCAAGGUUCUCUAUUGAAUGCCCUAUCUAGCAGAGUCUAGCAGGACCUCAUAGAAAAGAUGUUUUCUCUCCUCUGCCUUGAAGGAACUUUAAGAAUUCUAUUUGGUCCAGGAGAUUACUUCAAAUAAUAGUGGUGGAGAUGGACUUGGAACAACAUGCUAAUUUCCCUCUUCUGGACACGUGCAACAUAUUAGAUUGCCCAAGAAGGGAAAUACAGCUCUCAUAGAAUAUUCCAUUGGGUAAUAAAAUUCUUUUUUUUUUUGGAUAAUAAAAUUCUUGAGUGGGUUGCUUUGAGUUGAUGAUCUAUGGCAGUGUGUAUUUUAUUUAUACUCCUUGGCAAAAUGUAGCAAUAAUAAUUCAGGGCAUAAGGGAUAGUAAUAGAUUGUCAACCAUUACUACUUUUAAUGAAAUGAAAGUCUCAUUGGAAAAUGAUGGGGAAUUAAUUAUUUAAACAAUAAGCCAAAAUUGUUCUACUCUGUCCAAAAGAAAUUGAAGGAACAUCUCCCUUCUCUAUAACUUUCCUCCUGAUGACCUUGAGGAAAUGAUUUGGAAGCUGAAGAAAUGCCUAAAUUUAUUAGGGACCACAACAUGGCUAUACAAAGUGUUGGGAUUCCUGAGUCCUAGCUGUUAUAUGUGAAGUAGCUAUGAGCUCUGUUGCUGUUACCAUUGCUGUGUAGUGUACAGGGUGGCCAGUGGCAGUGCUUGACAUCUAAAGAAGCAUUCUAAGCUCAUCAACCCAAGGCUCCUUAUUAGAAGGCCCUAACAUAAAGAGCCUUCCAGCAUUGCUGCUCCUGAUUUCCCUUCCCAACACACAGAAGAUAUUCCUUUAAAACAAAUUGCUCAAGGGACCUUAUCACUUUCAAUCAUUUUCUCACACUGGAUUCUACCCAGGACGUCCAUCAGGAAGCUCAUAUGUGAACACUGUUUGAAAUUCCACUUACCAGGAAAACUUGGCAAAGGAACUAUGAUAGUGUCUAGUUUUUUUCCACCAACCAAAGCGUGCAAAAGUGUAUGAUUCAUUCAUUAUCUUUUUCCACGAAGUAUAUAGAAGCAAAAAAAAAAAAUGUAUCCCAGGUUUUCCCCUAUUCCCCCUUUUCCUUCCAUUUAUUGAAAGAGAAGUACCUGUGUGAGGUUGGUGACUUUCUUGGCUUCCUCCAUGGCUAAAGCUGUAUAAAGAACCUGUAUAAGGAAAUGCACAGCAGCAGCCUUCUCACAAGCAGAUUUUUCCAGGUGUGUCCCUCCCCGGUGGCCUCUUAGGACCUUAGAUCUUACUUGGUUCUAUUGGCUUUACUUGGAUGUUUGGUCUCCAUGCCCGGUCGCUUUGGAUAAUCAGAUGGAUGGUCUGCCUGGGUUUUGGUUUGGUUCUUCCCCAACAUGCUGCCUCUCACUGUAGCCUGUGAGUAAGUUAUAGAUCUCUCUGUGCCCAGGUUCCUGGGUUCUCUCACCUGGCUCAGACCUCAGCCUUUGGGCCCAUGCUUGCCUGGAAAGAGGAUGCAGAAUUCAAGACACUGUUGAAGAUACGGAAGGAGGAGAUGCUUAAAAGGAAUAUCAUACUCUCCAGAAGGUAAGGUUAGGGAGGGUGGAUACAUGAAAGAUAAUUUAUGAUUUAGUUAAUGUGAUUCAUAGGACAUUAAAGUAUAACUGUGAAGAUAAUCAAUAGAUAUUUACUGUGCAUCUACCUUCAUGGUACUUUUUAUUUUAUUUUUUUUAAACUGACUAUGUUGUACCAUAAACUAUUUAUUGGGUAUAGUUGGGAGAGAAUAUGUUCUAUUUAUUUCAGCUUUGGGCUAGUAUAUAUUAUAUGACAUAUAUUUAUUUUAGUAAAAUUGACUAGAAUACAUAAUUAUCAAGUUAUAUUUAUGUUUUAUAUUUAGUUUUGUAAUUUAAUGUUUCAGUACAUCUAAUGGAAAAAAGAGCAGCUCAAGAAAAGG